GAUUCCCCUAGUAACUGCGAGUGAAGAGGGAAGAGCUCAAAUUUAAAAUCUGGCAGUCUUAUGUCUGUCCGAGUUGUAAAUUAGAGAAGCGUUAUCCGCGCUGGCCUGUGCAAAAGUCUCUUGGAAAAGAGCAUCAUAGAGGGUGACAAUCCCGUCUUUGGCACAGACUACCAGGGCUUUUGUGAUGCGUUCUCGAUGAGUCGAGUUGUUUGGGAAUGCAGCUCUAAAUGGGUGGUAAAUUCCAUCUAAAGCUAAAUAUUGGCGAGAAACCGAUAGCGCACAAGUACCGUGAGGGAAAGAUGAAAAGAACUUUGAAAAGAGAGUUAAACAGUACGUGAAAUUGUUGAAAGGGAAACGCUUGAAGUCAGUCGUGUCCUUCAGAAAUCAACCUGACUUUCGUUGGGCGUACUUUCUGUUGGAUGGGUCAGCAUCAAUUUUGAUCGUUGGAUAAAGGCCUCGGGAAUGUGGCAUCUUCGGAUGUGUUAUAGACCUUGGUUCGCAUACAAUGGUUGGGAUUGAGGAACUCAGUGUGACUUAUGUUUGGGGCUUCGGCCUACACUACGCACUUAGGAUGCUGGCAUAAUGGCUUUAAUCGACCCGUCUUGAAACACGGACCAAGGAGUCUAACAUACAUGCGAGUGUUUGGGUGGAAAACUCAAGCGCGCAAUGAAAGUGAAAGUUGAGAACCCUGUCGUGGGGUGCAUCGACGCCCGGACCUGACCUUUUGUGACGGACCUGCGGUAGAGCAUGCAUGUUGGGACCCGAAAGAUGGUGAACUAUGCCUGAAUAGGGUGAAGCCAGAGGAAACUCUGGUGGAAGCUCGUAGCGAUUCUGACGUGCAAAUCGAUCGUCGAAUUUGGGUAUAGGGGCGAAAGACUAAUCGAACCAUYAAUGCUACUCGGUGGUUAAGAGGCAUUCUGAAAGGACUUGCCUAGUGAGUGUUAAGGCUCGCGACACUAUCAAAUUGCGGGGACAUCCUAAAGCUUCWAACACCAAGCUUCAAUUCCGAAAGGAUGAAGUGGCCAGGUUAAUAGCCUCGGGUAUGGUAAAAGUUUUGAAGAUGCUACAAUGGACAAUCCGCAGCCAAGCUCUAAGGGCUACUUGUUAGCUUAUGAGUGCAGUUCACAGACUAAAUGGUAGUGGGUGUAGUACUUGUGUGCUAUGCUUAAGAUAUAGUCGGUCCUACCGUGAAAGCGGUCCAGUGAAUGAAGGAUUUGUAUAGCCCCUUGACAACAGGCUACAAUCCAGGAGACACUGGAAGGCAUUACUUACUUGCCUUUGGAUAAAUGCUAGUAGCUGGUUCCUGCCGAAGUUUCCCUCAGGAUAGCAGACACUCAUUGCAUCAGAUUUAUGUGGUAAAGCGAAUGAUUAGAGGCCUUGGGGUUGAAACAACCUUAACCUAUUCUCAAACUUUAAAUAUGUAAGAUGAAACCGUUUCUUGAUUGAACCGUUUCGCGAUUGAAGAGUGUCUAGUGGGCCAUUUUUGGUAAGCAGAACUGGCGAUGCGGGAUGAACCGAACGUGAAGUUAAGGUGCCGGAAUCUACGCUCAUCAGACACCACAAAAGGUGUUAGUUCAUCUAGACAGCAGGACGGUGGCCAUGGAAGUCGGAAUCCGCUAAGGAGUGUGUAACAACUCACCUGCCGAAUGAACUAGCCCUGAAAAUGGAUGGCGCUUAAGCGUAGUACCCAUACUUCACCGUCAAUGUAGCAGCGACACAUUGACGAGUAGGCAGGCGUGGAGGUCAUGCUGAGAAGGCUGG
rnacentral:rRNA from 1 species